GCAUCUCUUUUUCAUACCUAAAUCCAAUAUUACAAAGUUAUAAACGAUACACUUUACAAAAAAGGUUAUAUUGUACACAAGCUUGAGAGCUUUAUCUUCCGUAUUCACAAUCUGGUUGAAGCAAAAGUAUCUAGCACAAGUCGAAGUAUCUUCAAAUGCUCGAAUGUGAACGUCCGCUACAAACUCUACGUCUACGUAUGCUAACAUAUCGUUCUCAUACAUUU
rnacentral:lncRNA from 1 species